rnacentral:rRNA from 1 species
UACGUAGGUGACAAGCGUUGUCCGGAUUUACUGGCCGUAAAGCGUGCGCAGGCGGUGAUGUAAGACAGAUGUGAAAUCCCCGGGCUCAACCUGGGAACUGCAUUUGUGACUGCAUCGCUGGAGUGCGGCAGAGGGGGAUGGAAUUCCGCGUGUAGCAGUGAAAUGCGUAGAUAUGCGGAGGAACACCGAUGGCGAAGGCAAUCCCCUGGGCCUGCACUGACGCUCAUGCACGAAAGCGUGGGGAGCAAACAGG